rnacentral:rRNA from 1 species
GAUGAACGCUGGCGGCGUGCCUAAUACAUGCAAGUCGAGCGAACGGACGAGAAGCUUGCUUCUCUGAUGUUAGCGGCGGACGGGUGAGUAACACGUGGAUAACCUACCUAUAAGACUGGGAUAACUUCGGGAAACCGUAGCUAAUACCGGAUAAUAUUUUGAACCGCAUGGUUCAAAAGUGAAAGACGGUCUUGCUGCCACUUAUAGAUGGAUCCGCGCUGCAUUAGCUAGUUGGUAAGGUAACGGCUUACCAAGGCAACGAUGCAUAGCCGACCUGAGAGGGUGAUCGGCCACACUGGAACUGAGACACGGUCCAGACUCCUACGGGAGGCAGCAGUAGGGAAUCUUCCGCAAUGGGCGAAAGCCUGACGGAGCAACGCCGCGUGAGUGAUGAAGGUCUUCGGAUCGUAAAACUCUGUUAUUAGGGAAGAACAUAUGUGUAAGUAACUGUGCACAUCUUGACGGUACCUAAUCAGAAAGCCACGGCUAACUACGUGCCAGCAGCCGCGGUAAUACGUAGGUGGCAAGCGUUAUCCGGAAUUAUUGGGCGUAAAGCGCGCGUAGGCGGUUUUUUAAGUCUGAUGUGAAAGCCCACGGCUCAACCGUGGAGGGUCAUUGGAAACUGGAAAACUUGAGUGCAGAAGAGGAAAGUGGAAUUCCAUGUGUAGCGGUGAAAUGCGCAGAGAUAUGGAGGAACACCAGUGGCGAAGGCGACUUUCUGGUCUGUAACUGACGCUGAUGUGCGAAAGCGUGGGGAUCAAACAGGAUUAGAUACCCUGGUAGUCCACGCCGUAAACGAUGAGUGCUAAGUGUUAGGGGGUUUCCGCCCCUUAGUGCUGCAGCUAACGCAUUAAGCACUCCGCCUGGGGAGUACGACCGCAAGGUUGAAACUCAAAGGAAUUGACGGGGACCCGCACAAGCGGUGGAGCAUGUGGUUUAAUUCGAAGCAACGCGAAGAACCUUACCAAAUCUUGACAUCCUUUGACAACUCUAGAGAUAGAGCCUUCCCCUUCGGGGGACAAAGUGACAGGUGGUGCAUGGUUGUCGUCAGCUCGUGUCGUGAGAUGUUGGGUUAAGUCCCGCAACGAGCGCAACCCUUAAGCUUAGUUGCCAUCAUUAAGUUGGGCACUCUAAGUUGACUGCCGGUGACAAACCGGAGGAAGGUGGGGAUGACGUCAAAUCAUCAUGCCCCUUAUGAUUUGGGCUACACACGUGCUACAAUGGACAAUACAAAGGGCAGCGAAACCGCGAGGUCAAGCAAAUCCCAUAAAGUUGUUCUCAGUUCGGAUUGUAGUCUGCAACUCGACUACAUGAAGCUGGAAUCGCUAGUAAUCGUAGAUCAGCAUGCUACGGUGAAUACGUUCCCGGGUCU